ACUACAAAAAAAAGGACCUUGUAUGGCGGCCUUUAGAUGGCGGAUUUCCGCCAUCUAUACUUCAAUAGUUUAGAUGGCGGAUGUCCGCCAUCUAUUCUUUCAGUCCGCCGAGGAAACGUUGUGGCUCGACGGCGGUUCGGAAUUUUUUUCGAUGGCGGUGUUUAGAUGGCGGAAAUCCGCCAUCUAAACUAUCCCGCCCAAAAUUUCAAUUUCCCCCCAAUUUCCAGCCCGAUUACCCGAUUAAAUUGACUUAAGAUGGCGGAAAUCCGCCAUCUUAAGUCUUCGGGGACUCGGGCGGAAAAAAGCCCGCCCAAAUUUCGAUUGGGCGGACUUUCACUUAAGUGCUGGCGGCACUUAAGUGUACUUACAUGGCGGAAAUCCGCCAUGUAAGUUUUGGGGUUUAUUAAAAACCCCAAAUCGACAGAACGCGUCUGUUCUGUCUUCUCGAAGUGUAAAUCGCCGCCGCUGCCUCCCCGCUGCCUCCCUGCUGCCUGCUGCCCCCGUCGCUGCUCGCCGUCGUUCCUCGCCGUCGGUUCUUCCUCGCCGUCGUUCCUCUCUGUCGCCGCAUCCCGCCGCAUCCUCGCCGGUUAUCUUUGAAGGUAUCAAUUUAUUGUGGGUGUCUAGCUUUUCACUUUUGUGGGUUGCGUUUUUUUUACCAAUUGCUUCUCACUUUUGUUUUAUGAUCCAAUAUAUUUUUUUUUAAUUUAGCGAUCCAAUAUGUGUUGUUAUUUCAUCCAUUUGAUUUCAACUAUAAACCCAUUUUGAUGAUGUUGAUGUAUUUUCAGUAUGGAUGUCCAUUUCACGAUCACUCCAUUGUCAUCUUGGCAUGUGUUUUUUUUAGUACAAUCCUCUUUAUAUAAUAGAUUUUCUUUUUAAUUAGUUGAUAAUACACCACUAUUUCAUUAAGGUUUCCAACAUUAUUUCAUGAUUUUUUGCUAUUAGUUUUUUUUCUAAAAAGCCAUCAUGAACUGCAUCUCCAGCAUCCUACAAGCUUAAAAUUAUUUUGUUCUUUUCAACUUGUCAUAACAUUUGAUUAGCUCUACUGUUUCAAUCUACCUACAUGUUUCUUUUUUUACUAUCUUCCAAUGAAUGCAUCCAAUGAAUGCAUGAUACUAAUACCUCCUACUUUUCCUUUGCCCCUUCCUCUUUAAUUUGACAUUCUCCACUCCUCCUAUUCCAUUCCAUUCCAUUCCAUUCCCCCACUUGCUCUUCCUGCGGAUCUCUUCUGUCCAAAACCAAGAGUAACCACUCUUUUGUCGGCCUAACUAACUAUUUCCGGACAAUUUCUUGCAGUGUUGUUUUAAUAAUGAAGGGGUUGCAUAUCAUCAUGGUGUUAAUAAUGAAGGGGUUAAUAAUGAAGGGGUUGUUUUAACUAACUAUUUCAUAUCAUCAUGGUGUUGACCAACUAGCUUUGCAAAUGAAUUCCUCAUUCAAUUAGAUAGUUGGUAUUUAAGAAUGUAGUUAAACCAAGUUUACCAUGUCAAAGAAAUAUCGAUUUCAAUUCAACUUAGUACUUAUUAGAUAGAGUUUUGCUAUAUAUAUAUAUAGAGAUCAGAUUUGUUCGUAUCAAUUUCGAAUUCAAUGAAUGCAAUUUUGUGUCAAGUAUGACAUAAAUUUUAGUGUUUUGGACAAACCCAUUUCGAAUUGAAUACAUUGGAUAUUUGUGUUUAGAUUAACUCAUCAUUGAAGUCAAGAGGUUUCCGACAAUUCCCAAUCGGAUUUUUGUGUUUUGUGUUACUUAUAUUUUUGUGUUUUGUGAAUGAUGAUCAUGUUAAGAAAGGAGAUGAUAUGUUAUUUGUAGAUGGCGUAUUUAUGUUAUUUAUGAAUCAAGGAGAUGAUAUGUUUGUGUAUUGAAAUUUACUUAUGAAUCAAAUGUUAAGAAUUUACAUAUCAAAUGUUUUGUAAUUCUUUAGUAAUUACUGAAAUUCUUUAGUAAUUACAUAUCAAAUGAAUCAAGGGGAUGAUAAGAAUUUACUGAAAUUCUUUAGUAAUUACACUGUUUUGUCUUAUGUUAAGAAUAAUUAGAUAAAUAUGAAUCAAUUAUGAAUAAUUAUGAAUCAAAUGCAUGUGAAUCAAAGAAUAUGAAUCAAGAUAAUAGUUAGAAUCAAGAUAAUAAUUACUGAAAUGUUAAGAAUAUGAAUAAUUAGAAUAAAUAUGAAUCAAAGAAUAAUUAUGAAUCAAAUGUUAAUUAGAUAAAUAAUUACUGUUUUUAUUAAAUAAAUUAAAUAAAAUAAUGUUUUUAAAUAAAUAAAUAAUUAAUAUUUUUUUUAAAAAAGAAAUAAAUUACUGUUUUUAAAUAAUUUUAAAAUUACUGAAAUUCUUGUAUAUUAUUUUCUGUUAUGAAUUAAAUAAUUAAUAAUUUGUUUAAAUAAAAAAAUAAAUAAUUUAAAAAUUAAGUAAUUAAAUAAAUUAUUUUGUCUUAUACUUGUAAUUAAUUAAUUUGCAUGUAAUUAUAAAUGUGUUAACUAAUAAUUAUAAAAUUGUAUCAAAUUAAUCUGUUAAUUAAAAUGUUAAAUAAUUAAAUUGUAUCAAAUAAUUUAAAUAAUGUUUUGAAUUAAUUAAAUGACAUACUGUUUUUAAAUAAUUAAUUAAUGAAAGUUUUUCAUAUUUUAAAUUAAUCAAUUAUUUUACAAUUAUUGCAAUUAUUUUACAAUUAUUUCAUAUUUAUUACAAUUCAUAUUUUAAAUUAAAAAAUUAUUUGACUUGAUGUUGUUGACUUGAUGUAGGUUAAUUUUGAAAAAUCAAGAAUCCAAUAAAUUUGGAUUGAAUUAAGUUAUAUUGCGGUAUGAAAAUUAUACAUUUUUUUUAAUCUUUUUGUUUUAAAAAUAUUUAAUGAAUUUGCAUGCAUGUAAAUAUAUAUAAAUUUGUUAAUUAGUAAUUAUUAAAUUGACUGAUUUUA
rnacentral:lncRNA from 1 species